rnacentral:rRNA from 1 species
ACUCAAAGGAAUUGACGGGGGCCCGCACAAGCGGUGGAGCAUGUGGUUUAAUUCGAUGCAACCCGAAAAACCUUACCUACCUUUGAAUCCUCGGAAGCUACUAGAGAUAGUGGUGUGCCUUCGGGAACCGAGUGACAGGUGCUGCAUGGUUGUCGUCAGCUCGUGUCGUGAGAUGUUGGGUUAAGUCCCGUAACGAGCGCAACCCUUGUCCUUAGUUGCCAGCGCGUAAUGGCGGGAACUUUAAGGAGACUGCCGGUGAUAAACCGGAGGAAGGUGGGGAUGACGUCAAAUCAUCAUGGCCCUUACAGGUAGGGCUACACACGUGCUACAAUGGCCGGUACAAAGGGAUGCCAACCCGCGAGGGGGAGCUAACCUCAAAAAGCCGGUCGUAGUCCGGAUUGGAGUCUGCAACUCGACUCCAUGAAGCUGGAAUCGCUAGUAAUCGUGGAUCAGCAUGCCACGGUGAAUACGUUCUCGGGCCUUGUACACACCGCCCGU